UACGUAGGGUGCGAGCGUUAAUCGGAAUUACUGGGCGUAAAGCGUGCGCAGGCGGUUGGUUAAGUCUGAUGUGAAAGCCCCGGGCUCAACCUGGGAAUGGCAUUGGAAACUGGCUGGCUAGAGUGUGGCAGAGGGGGGUGGAAUUCCGCGUGUAGCAGUGAAAUGCGUAGAGAUGCGGAGGAACACCGAUGGCGAAGGCAAUCCCCUGGGCCUGCACUGACGCUCAUGCACGAAAGCGUGGGGAGCAAACAGG
rnacentral:rRNA from 1 species